rnacentral:rRNA from 1 species
CGUGACGAAAAAUAACGAUACGGGACUCAUCCGAGGCCCCGUAAUCGGAAUGAGUACACUCUAAACCCUUUAACGAGGAUCAAUUGGAGGGCAAGUCUGGUGCCAGCAGCCGCGGUAAUUCCAGCUCCAAUAGCGUAUAUUAAAGUUGUUGCGGUUAAAAAGCUCGUAGUCAAAUCUGUGUCCCGCGCCGCCGGUUCAUCGUUCGCGGUGUUAACUGGCGUGCCGCGGGACGUCCUGCCGGUGGGCUUAGCUCGCGAGGGCGGCCCAACUCAAUCCCGCCGCGGUGCUCUUCAUUGAGUGUCGAGGUGGGCCGGCACGUUUACUUUGAACAAAUUAGAGUGCUUAAAGCAGGCUAAAACUUCCCCUGAAUACUGUGUGCAUGGAAUAAUGGAAUAGGACCUCGGUUCUAUUUUGUUGGUUUUCGGAACCCCGAGGUAAUGAUUAAUAGGAACGGAUGGGGGCAUUCGUAUUGCGACGUUAGAGGUGAAAUUCUUGGAUCGUCGCAAGACGGACAGAAGCGAAAGCAUUUGCCAAAAACGCUUUCAUUGAUCAAGAACGAAAGUUAGAGGUUCGAAGGCGAUCAGAUACCGCCCUAGUUCUAACCAUAAACGAUGCCAGCUAGCGAUCCGCCGACGUUCCUCCGAUGACUCGGCGGGCAGCUUCCGGGAAACCAAAGCUUUUGGGUUCCGGGGGAAGUAUGGUUGCAAAGCUGAAACUUAAAGGAAUUGACGGAAGGGCACCACCACGAGUGGAGCCUGCGGCUUAUUU